rnacentral:rRNA from 1 species
GGGUCAGUAGGUUGGUCGUGCCACCGGUACGUACUGGUCUCACUGAUUCCUCCUUCCUGAAGAACCGUAAUGCCAUUAAUUUGGUGUUGCGGGGAAACAGGACUGUUACUUUGAAAAAAUUAGAGUGUUUAAAGCAAGCUAACGCUUGAAUACAUUAGCAUGGAAUAAUGAAAUAGGACGAUGGAUCCUACUUUGUUGGUUUCUAGGAUUGACGUA